UUAUCAAAGAGAACCAGGAUCCCUGAUGGUAACUAAUAUAGGGCUUACAUAUAGAUUUAGAUUCAUACACUUUUUUCUUAGUGAUAUCUGGACCUAAAUGUGUUUUUUACCAUGUCAGUUUCUCUAGUAAGCACUUAAUGCUGCAAAAAUUCAAUAUAUGUUUAACUUUAUGCGCAUGAAUGUUCCCACUGAACUCUGGCACUUCCUAAGCACCUGUGUAAGUCUUAUCAGAAUGAAAGCUUUAAUGUGCAUCCUGUGACUUGCAAUCUGAUUAUUGUUUUUAGUACUGAUAAUAAUAGUUCCCACAGGAUGUUUCAGAGCUAUAAUCUCUAUCCUGCAUUCAGAUAUGCACAAAUGGAAAUUCAGGGCCUCAUUCACCUGCCAUUUUGGGAGCAUAAUUCAAGGGUUUUUUUUUUUUUUUAAUGCUAAAACAGCUCAAGAAAAAAAAAAAGAAAUAGGAUUUAACUAAUGGCCUGUGUACAACUGGGUAUGUAGACUAGUAUAAUUUUCACAUAUAUAGUUAUGUGGUUUUAUUAUAAUUAAAAUACAGUAUCCACAUAAAUAAUGUAAUAAUUCCAUGGCAUUUAUCACAGUGUGACUGUUUGGUAGGUAUUCGUAAUAAAACUGCUGGCAUAACUAAUUAAAGUAAAAGUAGAAAUAAAUACCCAGAAGAAAGGGAGUGAAAGAGGGAGGAGGAUGAAUAGAUUUGUCCUCUUGUGUCAAGAGGCAAUCUUUCUAUUUGGAUAAAAUGUAAAUUAAUUUGUGGAAAGCAGCAACAUAAGACCUAGGCUUAUCUCCCUUUACAUUUUGAAAUGUUAAAAGGGGGGAGCAUUAGCACUUUAAAUUACAGUCUGUGAAAGCAUUGUAUGGUAGUAAUUAAUUGCUUUAAUUACCUCUCCUCUUCAAAGUCCUUCAGGGUGUCCAGCUUUUGAUGGCUCCUAAAAGGAAUUUAUUCCAUGAAAAAAGAAAAAGCCAACAACCAUUAAUGUGGAAUUAAAAAAAAGAUCACAAAUGAACUCUCCAUAAGGUUCAUUUCCUAGCUUCUGAACCUCAGUAUAAUAAAAGAGCCUAUAACACAUACUUUAAUCUAAUUUCACCUUUUAUCAAAUAUUUUAGAUGACUUUAUAUGCACUUAGCAUCAAGAACAGCCUGUGCACACAGACGAAGGCCCUGACCUUGGAAGGAAGUCCAAACAGGAAUGCCUUUAAAUGCAGCAGAGACCCAAUGAGACCUUGUACAGCACUGCAAGUCAAUCAACAGAAUGCUUCUUAUAGGACUAAUUAGGCUCUAGGAAUGAUGAAGAUAAAAUAAUGGCACAUGGGGCAAAGAAAAGCCAAGAGUACCAAAAUGUCUUUGAGUUUAUCAAGAUCAUGCAGACUCCUAACCCUACCCUAAAGAUUUUCUGAAACUCCACCCAACUGACUAUCACAUGCAAAUUUUGUGGCUCAUCUAUAAAAUGGGGAUCAUAGUGCCACUUUCCUACCUGCACAGACUGUUGUGAAGAUAUAUAU